UCAAAAUGAGUCAGGGAAAUCGUUGC
rnacentral:piRNA from 1 species